rnacentral:rRNA from 1 species
AGAGCGAACGCUGGCGGCGUGCUUAACACAUGCAAGUCGAGUGCGCGCCUGUAGCAAUACAGGUGGCGCACGGCGCACGGGUGCGUAACACGUGGGUAAUCUGCCCUUCGAUGGGGAAUAACUCCGGGAAACCGAAGCUAAUUCCGCAUAACAUUCCUUGGACCUCGGUCUGGGGAUUCAAAGCCGUAAGGCGUCGGAGGAGGAACCCGCGCACGAUUAGUUAGUUGGCAGGGUAACGGCCUACCAAGACUUUGAUCGUUAGC